AAGUCGUAACAAGGUUUCCGUAGGUGAACCUGCGGAAGGAUCAUUAUCGAAAAUAAAGGGUUGUCUGCUGGCCUCUCGGGGCGCGUGCACGCCAAAUCCACAACACGACCUGCUGAACCCCACCGUAAGGCCCCUCGGGGCCUUUAUGUAUUCAUCAUAUACCGUCCUGAUCAAUAGAAUGUUAAAUAAUUUUGCCCUUAAAAACGCCAACUGAAAUACAA
rnacentral:misc_RNA from 1 species